AGAUCUAAACAGACUGCCUCCCCUCACCACCUCCCCCGCCCCUCCUCUCCAACACACUAUCAUAUGAGAGACUGCAGCCUCUCAGCAGCAGCCUGAUCAUCAAACUAUCCUCGCUACAAAAUGCACCCAAAACAACUGUGUGAGAGACAAAGCAGGCUCAUGUCAGGCAUGAGGAGCUGCUCUUCUACUGAUGAAUGAAUCCCUCAGGAAAUACACUGUAAGGCUGCAUGAAAGAGAGAUGUCACAUACUGAUGUGUCCAUUCAUGCAAAUCCUCAGGGAGGAAUAAACAAUUUUCAAAGCACCGGUUGACACAAGAAAACCAAAAAUAAAUCCCAUGUAAUGUAAUUUAGAUUGAAAAAAGAAGAUAUUCACAGUAAAAUAUAGUAACAUGAAAAAAAAUGAAUUGACAAAUACAACAGCUGCCUCCAUGCAUCAAAAGGUUACUUCUUAUGUCCACAGCACAUUGUUAUUAAAUCAUCUCAUUUGGCACUAACAGUAUGAUUCACGGAGAAGAAAGAGAAACACUGGACCAACCUGUUUACAACCUGUUUUAAUCCCAAAAUGAGAUACUCGAGCGAAUGAGAUAUUAUGUUACAUUUUAAGGAAAAAACACAAAAUUACUCUCAGUCCUUUUCUGUUCCUCGACAAGAAUGGAUCACAUGACACUCUACUGUAAAACUACCUCAUAUCUCUACUCUUAUUCAAAUGGUAGGGCAGGGAUCGAUCCAAUAAUUACUAAACCUGAGACAUUUUAGUCUGCUACUGUUUUUGAUGCCAAUUAGGUUGUGUAUUGUAAGAAGGGUAGGUGUAACAAACCGUAGCUUCAGCCUCCAACUUUUCAGUCUGUAGAAAAUCUUCUAUGUUGUGUUAUUGUGUUGUAUUGUUGAAGGUAACGGCAUAUUUUAUUGUAUCUUUUUCCAAAUUGUUUGUGUAACUACUCAAAAAAUUUAAUUUCAUUAGAUUUCCCAUAUAUAUACACAGAUCUUAACAGAUUGAAUUCAGGUAUCACAAUAGACACGUUUUAAUGGAAUGAUUGCAAACAUUUAAAAACAUUAUUGUGUUUUUAUGACUCGUCUUCAGCUGCAACUAACUAAUGUUUUCA